GACGUAGGGCGCGAGCGUUGUCCGGAUUUAUUGGGCGUAAAGAGCUCGUAGGCGGCUUGUCGCGUCGACUGUGAAAACCCGCGGCUCAACUGUGGGCUUGCAGUCGAUACGGGCAGGCUGGAGUUCGGGAGAGGGAAGCGGAAUUCCGGGUGUAGCGGUGAAAUGCGCAGAUAUCCGGAGGAACACCGGUGGCGAAGGCAGCUUCCUGGACCGACACUGACGCUGAGGCGCGAAAGCUAGGGGAGCAAACGGG
rnacentral:rRNA from 1 species